rnacentral:rRNA from 1 species
GACGAACGCUGGCGGCGUGCUUAACACAUGCAAGUCGAACGGAAAGGCCCUGCUUUUGUGGGGUGCUCGAGUGGCGAACGGGUGAGUAACACGUGAGUAACCUGCCCUUGACUUUGGGAUAACUUCAGGAAACUGGGGCUAAUACCGGAUAGGAGCUCCUGCUGCAUGGUGGGGGUUGGAAAGUUUCGGCGGUUGGGGAUGGACUCGCGGCUUAUCAGCUUGUUGGUGGGGUAGUGGCUUACCAAGGCUUUGACGGGUAGCCGGCCUGAGAGGGUGACCGGGCACAUGGGGACUGAGAUACGGCCCAGACUCCUACGGGAGGCAACGGUGGGGAAUAUUGCACAAUGGGGGGGAGCCUGAUGCAACAACGCCGGGUGCGGGAAGACGGGCUUCGGGGUGUAAACCGCUUUCGCCUGUGACGAAGCGUGAGUGACGGUAAUGGGUAAAGAAGCACCGGCUAACUACGUG